AACGAUUCCCAGUAAGAUAUGUUUGAUAUUCUUGGUUGUUACAUUCAAAAGUUCACCCAGGAAUCAAACAUAUUAUUAUUGUGCUCGUG
rnacentral:pre_miRNA from 1 species